rnacentral:rRNA from 1 species
UACGGGGGGGGCAAGCGUUGUUCGGAAUUAUUGGGCGUAAAGGGCGCGUAGGCGGUGCGGUAAGUCACCUGUGAAAUCUCCUGGCUCAACUGGGAGCUUGCAGGCGAAACUGCCGUGCUGGAGCGUGGGAGAGGUGCGUGGAAUUCCUGGUGUAGCGGUGAAAUGCGUAGAUAUCAGGAGGAACACCUGUGGCGAAAGCGGCGCACUGGACCACAACUGACGCUGAGGCGCGAAAGCUAGGGGAGCAAACAGG